UACGGAGGGGGCUAGCGUUGUUCGGAAUUACUGGGCGUAAAGCGCACGUAGGCGGCUUUGCAAGUUAGAGGUGAAAGCCCGGGGCUCAACUCCGGAAUUGCCUUUAAAACUGCAUCGCUAGAAUUGUGGAGAGGUAAGUGGAAUUCCGAGUGUAGAGGUGAAAUUCGUAGAUAUUCGGAAGAACACCAGUGGCGAAGGCGACUUACUGGCUCAUUACUGACGCUCAGGCGCGAUAGUGUGGGGAUCAUACAGG
rnacentral:rRNA from 1 species